AGAGUUUGAUCAUGGCUCAGAUUGAACGCUGGCGGCGGGCCUAACACAUGCAAGUCGAACGGUAACAGGAAACAGCUUGCUGUUUCGCUGACGAGUGGCGGACGGGUGAGUAAUGUCUGGGAAACUGCCUGAUGGAGGGGGAUAACUACUGGAAACGGUAGCUAAUACCGCAUAACGUCGCAAGACCAAAGAGGGGGACCUUCGGGCCUCUUGCCAUCAGAUGUGCCCAGAUGGGAUUAGCUAGUAGGUGGGGUAACGGCUCACCUAGGCGACGAUCCCUAGCUGGUCUGAGAGGAUGACCAGCCACACUGGAACUGAGACACGGUCCAGACUCCUACGGGAGGCAGCAGUGGGGAAUAUUGCACAAUGGGCGCAAGCCUGAUGCAGCCAUGCCGCGUGUAUGAAGAAGGCCUUCGGGUUGUAAAGUACUUUCAGCGGGGAGGAAGGGAGUAAAGUUAAUACCUUUGCUCAUUGACGUUACCCGCAGAAGAAGCACCGGCUAACUCCGUGCCAGCAGCCGCGGUAAUACGGAGGGUGCAAGCGUUAAUCAGAAUUACUGGGCGUAAAGCGCACGCAGGCGGUUUGUUAAGUCAGAUGUGAAAUCCCCGGGCUCAACCUGGGAACUGCAUCUGAUACUGGCAAGCUUGAGUCUCGUAGAGGGGGGUAGAAUUCCAGGUGUAGCGGUGAAAUGCGUAGAGAUCUGGAGGAAUACCGGUGGCGAAGGCGGCCCCCUGGACGAAGACUGACGCUCAGGUGCGAAAGCGUGGGGAGCAAACAGGAUUAGAUACCCUGGUAGUCCACGCCGUAAACGAUGUCGACUUGGAGGUUGUGCCCUUGAGGCGUGGCUUCCGGAGCUAACGCGUUAAGUCGACCGCCUGGGGAGUACGGCCGCAAGGUUAAAACUCAAAUGAAUUGACGGGGGCCCGCACAAGCGGUGGAGCAUGUGGUUUAAUUCGAUGCAACGCGAAGAACCUUACCUGGUCUUGACAUCCACGGAAGUUUUCAGAGAUGAGAAUGUGCCUUCGGGAACCGUGAGACAGGUGCUGCAUGGCUGUCGUCAGCUCGUGUUGUGAAAUGUUGGGUUAAGUCCCGCAACGAGCGCAACCCUUAUCCUUUGUUGCCAGCGGUCCGGCCGGGAACUCAAAGGAGACUGCCAGUGAUAAACUGGAGGAAGGUGGGGAUGACGUCAAGUCAUCAUGGCCCUUACGACCAGGGCUACACACGUGCUACGAUGGCGCAUACAAAGAGAAGCGACCUCGCGAGAGCAAGCGGACCUCAUAAAGUGCGUCGUAGUCCGGAUUGGAGUCUGCAACUCGACUCCAUGAAGUCGGAAUCGCUAGUAAUCGUGGAUCAGAAUGCCACGGUGAAUACGUUCCCGGGCCUUGUACACACCGCCCGUCACACCAUGGGAGUGGGUUGCAAAAGAAGUAGGUAGCUUAACCUUCGGGAGGGCGCUUACCACUUUGUGAUUCAUGACUGGGGUGAAGUCGUAACAAGGUAACCGUAGGGGAACCUGCGGUUG
rnacentral:rRNA from 1 species